rnacentral:misc_RNA from 1 species
UUUGGAAAUGAGUGGUCUUUCUUAGGUAUCAAUUAUCCCAAAUAUUUCUUUUAUUGUGACCUUAAAAUAUUUCUGAUCUUUUAGUUAUCGAUGUAACUUCAUUGUAGAUUAUUAGUUCUUUUAAAUUUAUCAAAAAAGAAAUAAAGUUCUAUGGAGUAGAAGAUAUUUUGUCUGCAGGUGUUGAAUGAGGAUAAAGGUUAUUAUUAAGGCUCAAAAGACAAG